rnacentral:rRNA from 1 species
GACGAACGCUGGCGGCGUGCUUAACACAUGCAAGUCGAACGGAAAGGUCCUGCUUUUGUGGGGUGCUCGAGUGGCGAACGGGUGAGUAACACGUGAGUAACCUGCCCUUGACUUUGGGAUAACUUCAGGAAACUGGGGCUAAUACCGGAUAGGAGCUCCUGCUGCAUGGUGGGGGUUGGAAAGUUUCGGCGGUUGGGGAUGGACUCGCGGCUUAUCAGCUUGUUGGUGGGGUAGUGGCUUACCAAGGCUUUGACGGGUAGCCGGCCUGAGAGGGUGACCGGCCACAUUGGGACUGAGAUACGGCCCAGACUCCUACGGGAGGCAGCAGUGGGGAAUAUUGCACAAUGGGCGGAAGCCUGAUGCAGCAACGCCGCGUGCGGGAUGACGGCCUUCGGGUUGUAAACCGCUUUCGCCUGUGACGAAGCGUGGGUGACGGUAAUGGGUAAAGAAGCACCGGCUAACUACGUG